UGACUUUCAUUAUCCCUAGGUUGUCUUGCCUGGUGUUGCCCCUGCUGCCUACAAUGUGGACUUGCCCAGGAUAUGGGAGAAUCGUGCUGUGAGGCAUGUUUGUACAAUUGGUGUAACCCUGGAGCCUUGUUUGGCAUGAGAGUUUACAUUAGAGGCAAAGAAAACAUAAGGGGGUCAUUGUGUAAUGAUUUUAACCUGACCGGAGGAUGCUGUAGCUGUUGCUACUGCUGUGCCCUGGCGCAACUGGCACGUGAGGUCAAGUACAUUAAGAGUACUAAAGGUUACGUCUGAAGAACUGGACAUUGUUUGACUACAUAUGUUUUUGUUCUUAAUUUUAUGUGUCGUUUCUUGUGGAAAUUGUUCUGAAAUGGAAAUUGUUGUUUAAAUUCUUGAAAAAAAAGUUAAAGUUACACAUCAUAAAAUGAGCCUUUGUGUAUUAAAAUAAAUUCAGAAUAAAGAUAAUAAUUAUGCACAAAAUC
rnacentral:sRNA from 1 species